AUGCAUCUAUGCUAUGUUUCAGGUGCCUUUGCCAACACAUUAACAGUAAUACUAGGAGGACUAAAUAUAGCAGAUGUUCUGCAAUCCCACACCAAAAGGAAACCUGGAAAUGUUGGAAAUUAUGCAGAUAUCCCCGAGUCACUCUCCUGCAACCCACUGCAGAGCACAAAGAAGAAAAGAGAAGUUUCUACAUUGCUUAAACACACAAGAGCUACUGACGUGACCCUCUUAGAGCCAUUUCACACUCUUUCCAGGGCACACCAAUGAUUUUACUUGAUUGCCAUUGCAGUGGGCACUACAGAAUGCAGGCUUCAUUCCUACUUCAGUUUUCUUUCUGUGCAUUUGGCAGCAAUUCUGGACACUCAGAAAUGCAGACCAUCACUAUUUUCUUUCAUUUCCACUUUCCCUUUAGAAAUGUUUUAUAAACAGCUUUCCCACACUGGAAAAAAAAUAAUUAAAUAAUUAAUAAUUUUAAAAAAUUAAAGUAAUUAAAGAUGCUCUAUUAUUCAAGUUAGUGGAAAUAGAAGAGUGA
rnacentral:lncRNA from 1 species